AUGUGCCUUCGGGAACCGUGAGACAGGUGCUGCAUGGCUGUCGUCAGCUCGUGUUGUGAAAUGUUGGGUUAAGUCCCGCAACGAGCGCAACCCUUAUCCUUUGUUGCCAGCGGUCCGGCCGGGAACUCAAAGGAGACUGCCAGUGAUAAACUGGAGGAAGGUGGGGAUGACGUCAAGUCAUCAUGGCCCUUACGACCAGGGCUACACACGUGCUACAAUGGCGCAUACAAAGAGAAGCGACCUCGCGAGAGCAAGCGGACCUCAUAAAGUGCGUCGUAGUCCGGAUUGGAGUCUGCAACUCGACUCCAUGAAGUCGGAAUCGC
rnacentral:rRNA from 1 species